UGGGGAAUUUUGGACAAUGGGCGAAAGCCUGAUCCAGCAAUGCCGCGUGUGUGAAGAAGGCCUUCGGGUUGUAAAGCACUUUUGUCCGGAAAGAAAUCCUUGGCUCUAAUACAGUCGGGGGAUGACGGUACCGGAAGAAUAAGCACCGGCUAACUACGUGCCAGCAGCCGCGGUAAUACGUAGGGUGCAAGCGUUAAUCGGAAUUACUGGGCGUAAAGCGUGCGCAGGCGGUUUGCUAAGACCGAUGUGAAAUCCCCGGGCUCAACCUGGGAACUGCAUUGGUGACUGGCAGGCUAGAGUAUGGCAGAGGGGGGUAGAAUUCCACGUGUAGCAGUGAAAUGCGUAGAGAUGUGGAGGAAUACCGAUGGCGAAGGCAGCCCCCUGGGCAAUACUGACGCUCAUGCACGAAAGCGUGGGGAGCAAACAGGAUUAGAUACCCUGGUAGUCCACGCCCUAAACGAUGUCAACUAGUUGUUGGGGAUUCAUUUCCUUAGUAACGUAGCUAACGCGUGAAGUUGACCGCCUGGGGAGUACGGUCGCAAGAUUAAAACUCAAAU
rnacentral:rRNA from 1 species